UAACGGAUUACACUUUUUAUUACUUUAAAAAAAACUCGUAAUCAUGUGCUCAUCAUGGUUUUAAACAUUAGCCAGGUCAUUUGACUUUCUAUCCUUUUCUUCAAGCACUUGUCGUGUCAUAUGAAUAAUUUUAAAAAUAAAUUAGCAAUGUAUGUAUGUACGAGUAUGUAUAAUGAGAAUUAUUAUAAAUACUUUUUUUACUGUUUGUAUCUACAAAACCCAUCUUGGGUAUUAUAUUAAAUUCAUUUUGUUGGAUGCAUACAAACAUUUUGUAUCUGUCUUACUUAUACUAUUGCUUUUCAUUAAAAAGUUUUUAUCUAAAUAUCUAAUAAUUAUAUUAGUUAUUAUGGUUUCUACUACUUCUAAUCGGGCAAAAAGUGUUCCGCUCAAACUUACAAAUAUUUCUUAUUCAUUAAUUUUGUUUCAUCAUAUUAUUUUAAAUGUAGAAAAAAAUUUUGACAUUGUAUAGGACCAUCUUUAGCAUCAGCUGGGCGUAGCCAGAUUGUUGCAUGCUGAUGCUCCCUCUAUGGCGCAGAUGGCGUCCUGGGCUUAGGCGCUUUCGGUGCCGGUCCUGGCACAGGUGUAGUUACAGUGAACACUGUAUAGCGAUUCAGGGCAAUCGUGUAAGGGCACACUUUUGGACAAUGUGGCACUAUUUUCGGCAUUGUGGUUUAGUUAUUCACUUCCAAUUAACAUUGCUGCUGAACAAUUUUUUUUUCCGAUUUUGUGGCGUUUUGGCUUGUAAUUUUUGGGCUGUAGUCCACGCGGGAGCUGGUGUAUUUGUGUAGAAUAGCCACUAUAUGUGUGCUACCCCUUUCUUAAUUUUAUUGUCGAUACCUUCACUCGAGAUCUAAUCACUCAGACUCUUUUUCUGUUUCUAUCUAUAUGCCGUGCCGUACCAAUUGGUUCUUGAUUUCUACCAGUCCUCGCCCUUACUUCCGGCCCUUUUCUUUACUUCUUGAUUUUCCAUAUUUCACAAUUCAGGUAUCCAAAGAUUUUGAUUCAAUGACACGGUUUUCAUGCUAUGAUCGUUGUUAGUUUAUAGUUGUUGUCCAAAAUGAGAGUGAUUUUACAGUCAUUGGCUCGCGGCCAGCAGAGGUCGGGAGCGGUCGGCAGCGGCCUUGUACAUAAGAACGUUCAAUCAUCAUACAUAAGGCGGGUGACAGCGAAAGAGCAAGUGAAAUUCUAUAUGCAUGCAUUUUAUGUAUAUGAAUUAGGGCUAUGGAUAUGUGAUGGCACUAGCACUUCCCAAAAACUAGGCUCUGCGGCGCAAUCAUUUUACUGCCGGGCACUUGAAUUUAACGACCGAGACAUUUGUGUAUAUAUAGUAAAAUUGUUUACUAAUUUUAUGAGUCGAACUAAUGUCCCGUCAGUUGACUAAGGACAACGCUAAGAAGAAUAAAUUAACGAACAACGAAUUUA